rnacentral:lncRNA from 1 species
AUGCAUACAAUACCUAACCCUCCCAAUUAUACCCACAGAGAAAGCAAGACAUUGAGAGGUUUGGUAGUAUGCCCAUACUUGCAUGUCUGUGCACCAAGAAGCAAGAAGCCAAAGACAGCUGUUUCUGACUACAAAGACCAUUCUCACUUUACCAUAACAUGCAACAACUUGGACUAUCAGAGAGGCUGCAACUUGCCCAUGCUGAUGAGCCCAGAGAUGAACCCAGAAGCUCCAUGUCCACACUCCAUGCUGGAAGCUCCUUCCUUAGGGUUGCAUUACCCUGAGUCAGCAGCAGGAAGCCAGAGAGCAGUAAUGGUAAUGAUGUUAACUUAAAUCUUGCUUAACACGUGCCAGGCAUAGUUCUAAGCCCUAAACUCGUUUAAUCUUUCCAAUAACUAUGAGGUUAGUACUAUUGUUAUCCUCAUUGUAAUACUGAGGGAAAGAGACUUUAAAUACUUUG